rnacentral:lncRNA from 1 species
UACCUGUGUUUCCUCCAUGGACCCAUGUGCAUUUUCUUCUCUUUCAUGCACUUUUUGGCAGCCAUACACAAGAUCUUAACUAGGGUGUGUAAUCUUUCUACCUUUCCCACGAAUACUUCAGGGAGUCUGCGGAUUAGUCGGUUGUAUUCUUCACUGGCUCUUGCCAUCUCGAAUUCAGCUCGAAAAUUCAGCUCAAUUAUCACCCUCACCUCUCCUUUCUUGGCGCUUGAGUUGUGGACCACAUCCAAGAAGGUGUGUUCACCUGCAGAAAUAAUCGAUUUUGAAGCUUUAAUUCUUAGCCUUGACACCAAACAUAAUCUUAUUUUUUAUGGAGAUUAAUCACAUCUUCCAUGCAUACCUGAUGGGAUAUUUGGUGAGCUCCUCCAUUUUGACUUGCAGAUAGCACUGUUGUAGCCAGCAUUUCGAAGACGGUCGGAGACUUCUCUCAACAGACAACUCCGGCAACCACCAACAACUGGUCUCAGGCAGACGCAGACGUUGUCAUCCAUUUGUAUUUCCUUCAAUGCCUCCUUGGUGGCAUUCCGAAU